GUGGGGAAUCUUGCGCAAUGGGCGAAAGCCUGACGCAGCCAUGCCGCGUGAAUGAUGAAGGUCUUAGGAUUGUAAAAUUCUUUCACCGGGGACGAUAAUGACGGUACCCGGAGAAGAAGCCCCGGCUAACUUCGUGCCAGCAGCCGCGGUAAUACGAAGGGGGCUAGCGUUGCUCGGAAUUACUGGGCGUAAAGGGCGCGUAGGCGGACAGUUUAGUCAGAGGUGAAAGCCCAGGGCUCAACCUUGGAAUUGCCUUCGAUACUGGCUGUCUUGAGUACGGGAGAGGUGAGUGGAACUCCGAGUGUAGAGGUGAAAUUCGUAGAUAUUCGGAAGAACACCAGUGGCGAAGGCGACUCACUGGCCCGUUACUGACGCUGAGGCGCGAAAGCGUGGGGAGCAAACAGGAUUAGAAACCCGUGUAGUCC
rnacentral:rRNA from 1 species